AUUGAACGCUGGCGGCAGGCCUAACACAUGCAAGUCGAGCGGCAGCGGGAAAGUAGCUUGCUACUUUUGCCGGCGAGCGGCGGACGGGUGAGUAAUGCCUGGGAAAUUGCCCAGUCGAGGGGGAUAACAGUUGGAAACGACUGCUAAUACCGCAUACGCCCUACGGGGGAAAGCAGGGGACCUUCGGGCCUUGCGCGAUUGGAUAUGCCCAGGUGGGAUUAGCUAGUUGGUGAGGUAAUGGCUCACCAAGGCGACGAUCCCUAGCUGGUCUGAGAGGAUGAUCAGCCACACUGGAACGGAGACACGGUCCAGACUCCUACGGGAGGCAGCAGUGGGGAAUAUUGCACAAUGGGGGAAACCCUGAUGCAGCCAUGCCGCGUGUGUGAAGAAGGCCUUCGGGUUGUAAAGCACUUUCAGCGAGGAGGAAAGGUUGAUGCCUAAUACGUAUCAACUGUGACGUUACUCGCAGAAGAAGCACCGGCUAACUCUGUGCCAGCCGCCGCAGUAAGAC
rnacentral:rRNA from 1 species